ACACCACCAACCAAGCAGGAUAAAACAAUAAAGCCAACAAAAAGAUAAAAAGUGAUACACAUAUCUACUCUCACCCCCCUCCCCCAAACUUAUUACAGAACAUAAGUUCGAAAAUAAGUUUGGAGGGAUGAUGAUAUGUGUGUCACUACUCACAGAAACACAUGCUCCAUGGUGGUGAUAUGAACAAGGCGCGAGUUCCCGCAUCUUCCAAGCUCAACACUGCACUAAAACCCCAAAACGAAGAAACAAAGAAACAAAAGAAAACAAAAAGAAACUAAACGAAAGGAAAACAAAACAAAGAAAAAGGUUGGGUUACCUCCCAACAAGUGCUUAAUUUAACGUCUAGAGCUCGACGAUACCUCAAAAACUCAUGGAGGUCGGAAACAGCACUCUAACCAUUGGAAAGCUUUUCUACUCUUGGGUGCCCUCUCCACCAAAACACUUUUCUUGGCUCGGACAUCCUCCACAAGCAUUGCCCCCUUUUCAUUCUUAUUCCGAAAAAUCCGGAAUUUCACUUUCUUCUUCUUGGGGGUAUGGGUUUUCAAAGACCCCCCAUCAUGCUCCAAAAACAAACACAUCUCAAAAGUCAGAACUUCUUUUGGUUUUGGAGUUUUUUUCUUGGCUUCAUACUUGGGCAGCUCAUUCUUCUCAACCUCUUCAUUCUCCGAAUUUGCUAGAAAACUGUCAGCCAAAUUUAUCACUUCAUUCUGGGGAACUUCCUUUGGUGGAGGUUUCUUGAAAAUCACAGUUUCCCCAUAGGCUCCCAAUGUCAUCGUCCCCCUUUGCAUAUCUAGCUUUGCUCCACAUGUGGCAAGGAAAGGUCUCCCUAAUAGCAAAGGCAUCUUUGGAUCCUCCGGAAUAUCCAACACUACAAAGUCGACUGGGAGAAAAAUCACUCACUUUCACAAGCACAUCUUCCGCUACUCCUAGAGGUUUAGAGCAAGACUUAUCAAUAAGCUGAAUUGUCUUGUUAGUUGGCUUCAAAUCCCCCAGUUGCAACUUCCUAUACACUUUGAGAGGCAUGNUUAUGCUCUCCAUUUAUUUCCAACACACAAAGUCGAUUUUCUAACAAAUUUAUCAAUAAACACUCGACUUCACACUUUUUUUUUCUUUCUUUUUCUUUUCUUUUUUUUUCUUCUUUUUUUUUCUUUUCUCAACAACUUUCUAGAGCUUAUAAGAGUAAAUAGUAACACAAAAUCAUCCCUUCUUUUUCACAACCCACUAUGAAUAUUCACCACACAAAGAUCCCCAUUCAUCACCCCCUAUCAUCCGGCUAAAGAAUAAAAGCUAAGGAGGCUCAAAAUUGAUAACAAAGGAUAAUUUUUCGUUAAAGACAGUGUUUGGGAUAAUAAAGUGGCUAACAAAAGAUGACCUAAAAUCAUCUCCUAAUCCUGGGCACAACAGCAACCUCGACACAGAAACCAUGGCAAGUUCUAGAAGAUCACCACAUGCAUGACAAAACUCACAACAAAGAAUAAACUGUGUAUGAUAAACAGUUAUAGCUCAAAAUCUCACAGGUUUAUUCAACGUCCAAAAGUCAAGGUCAAAAUCACUCUAGAAUUAUGCAAAUUAGUUCCAAUUAUGCUUAAAUCAUCAAAGAAAAUCAAACUCUAAAUUUUUUUUCCACAGAAAUCAUCAUUGGCAUCUCACCAGAAAUCUAAUGGAACAUAAAUCAUCUCAAAAAAAACAAAACAAACACACACCACCAACCAAGCAGGAUAAAACAAUAAAGCCAACAAAAAGAUAAAAGUGAUACACAUAUCUAAUCUCACCCCCUCCCCCAAACUUAUUACAGAACAUAAGUUCGAAAAUAAGUUUGGAGGGAUGAUGAUAUGUGUGUCACUACUCACAGAAAUACAUGCUCCGUGGUGGUGGUAUGAACAAGGCGCGAGUUCCCGCAUCUUCCAAGCUCAACACUGCACUAAAACCCCAAACAAAACAACAAAACAAAAAGAAACAAAACGAAACUAAAAGAAAGAAAAACAAAAUAAAAACGGUUGGGUUACCUCCCAACAAGUGCUUAAUUUAACGUCUAGAGCUCGACGAUACCUCAAAAAUUCAUGGAGGUCGGAAACAACACUCUAACCAUUGGAAAGCUUUUCUACUCUUGGGUGCUCUCUCCACCAAAACACUUCUCUUGGCUCGAACAUCCUCCACAAGCAUUGCCCCCUUCUCAUUCUUGUUCCG
rnacentral:lncRNA from 1 species